GGCGGACGGGUGAGUAAUGUCUGGGAAACUGCCCGAUGGAGGGGGAUAACUACUGGAAACGGUAGCUAAUACCGCAUAACGUCGCAAGACCAAAGAGGGGACCUUCGGGCCUCUUGCCAUCGGAUGUGCCCAGAUGGGAUUAGCUAGUAGGUGGGGUAACGGCUCACCUAGGCGACGAUCCCUAGCUGGUCUGAGAGGAUGACCAGCCACACUGGAACUGAGACACGGUCCAG
rnacentral:rRNA from 1 species